rnacentral:lncRNA from 1 species
AUGGUUGGCGCAUACUCUGGUGUGAAGGUGGGACUCCGCGAAGACGUCGCACAGUACCUGGAAUUGUGUAUUGUGCACAACCUUGUGCUGAGACAACGGAAAACCGCCAUCUUAUUGCUCACUCAAUGCCUCCAUAACACCAAUUUUUCACUCCCGGGCUUUGCAGCAGCCCGGUGUACUUUCCAUAAUACGCCUAUUACACAGGCAUCCUCACUAGCCAUCGCUUACACAAUUACCCGUGUGAUUUUCUCCAUCCCGGCGUGGUUGCCAUCGUCUUCGGUCCCCACCCAGUAUAACUUCGGGCGCCUGCAUCACGGGUGCCCUAAAAAAAUAGGAGACGCGUUCCCCUCCUCCCAGGUUUCUGGUUUCUCCACCCAGUCUCCCCACCGUCCUCCACUCCUCGCACCCCAGCCCUUCCGGCCUCCACCCAGACCGGGGAGAAGCGGGCCUGACAUUCCAGGAACCCAUGGAAACAGAUGA